rnacentral:misc_RNA from 1 species
GAGUUUACAACUCCCAAACCCCUGUGAACAUACCUAUACGUUGCCUCGGCGGAUCAGCCCGCGCCCCGUAAAAAGGGACGGCCCGCCCGAGGACCCCUAAACUCUGUUUUUAGUGGAACUUCUGAGUAAAACAAACAAAUAAAUCAAAACUUUCAACAACGGAUCUCUUGGUUCU